GGCGGAGCACCGCGGCCCCGCCCUGUCACCUGGCGCCCGGAAUGGCUUCCACCGCGUGCGGCUCGCGGUCCCUGCUGCAGUUCCUGCGGCUGCUGGGGCGGCUCAAGAGAGUCCCUCGGACCGGCUGGGUGUACCGAAAUGUGGAAAAUCCAGAGAGUGUGUCUGACCACAUGUACCGCAUGGCACUGAUGGCCAUGGUGACCAGAGAUGAGGACCUUAACAAGGAUCGAUGCAUACGCCUGGCCCUGGUUCACGAUAUGGCAGAGUGCAUCGUUGGGGACAUAGCACCAGCAGAUAACGUCCCCAAAGAAGAAAAACAUAGGCGAGAAGAGGAAGCCAUGAAGCAGAUAACCCAGCUCCUGCCGGAAGAACUCAGCGAGGAGCUCUAUGACCUGUGGGAAGAGUAUGAGACCCAGUCCAGUGCGGAAGCCAGGUUCGUGAAGCAGCUGGACCAGUGUGAGAUGAUCCUACAGGCGUCUGAGUACGAAGACCUGGAGCACAAGCCCGGGAGGCUGCAGGACUUCUUCGAUUCCACUGCAGGGAAAUUCAGCCACCCCGAGAUAGUCCGGCUGGUUUCUGAGCUUGAGGAGGAAAGAAACGCGAACAUUGCCGCUGCCCCGGGGGAGCCACAGCCCUGAGCCCCCAGCCUGCUGAGCAUCUUCCUCCUGUGCCCGGCUGCUGUGCCCUUUGGUCCUCUGAGGUCCCAGAUUCGAGUCUGGGAUUCUGAUCCUUCCAGAGGAUAAUCAGGUCGCUGGGUUGCAGUGUCUACCGCAUUCAUCCAGAGAACAGAUUUAAUCAAGAUGGACUGGACUCAGAUUGGGUCCUGUCAGUGUUGCAAAUGUAUAAACAUCCUUAUGUGCCUGACGCUCAGGUUUUCUACUUGGGAUUUAGCAGGACAACCUG